GUGCAGACGUUGGCCACGCCUCCUGCGGGGCGGUCCCGGGUACCGUGUCCGGCCUCUUCCGCAGGACCUGCGCGGGCUGAAAGCUCUUCGGGGCCGGGCACCUGUUCCGCGCCCAGUGGAUAAAUGGCAAGCAAAAAGCGAGAAAUCCAGUUACAGACAGUCGUUAAUAGUCAAAGCCUGUGGGAUGAGAUGUUGCAGAACAAAGGCCUAACAGUGAUAGAUGUUUACCAAGCCUGGUGUGGACCUUGCAAAGCAAUGCAACCUUUAUUCAGAAAACUGAAAAACGAACUGAACGAAGAUGAACUUCUGCAUUUCGUUGUCGCAGAAGCUGACAACAUUGUAACUUUGCAGUCAUUUAGAGAUAAAUGUGAACCUGUUUUUCUCUUUAGUGUUAAUGGCAAAAUUAUUGCCAAGAUCAUUGGUGCAAAUGCCCCACUUGUUAAUCAAAAAAUUAUUAACUUGAUUGAUGAGGAGAGGAAAAUUGAAGCAGGUGAAAUGGUUCGCCCUCAGUAUCAUGAAAUUACGUUUGUGGACUCAGAUGCGGAAGAUGGUGAGGAAUCACCCUAUGAAAGUGCUGAGCAACUAUACAGUAUUGCUAUUAUCAAGCCCGAUGCUGUGAUUGCUAGAAAAUCUUUAGAAAUUAAAAAAAAAAUUCUCGAGGCAGGAUUUGUCAUAGAAAUAGAGGAUAAGAGAGUGCUCACUGAACAGCAAGUAAGGGACUUCUACAGUCGAAUAGCAGACCAGCCUGACUUUGAAGAUUUUGUCCUUUUUAUGACAAAUGGCCUGAGCCACAUUCUAGUGAUAUCUCAAGGAAAUGAAGAACAGCCUGCCUGGGAAGAAACUGAACCCAAUCCCGAGACUGAAACUAAAGUGGAUGAGGAUCAUCACCAUGAGGUGGCCCCACCUACGCUGAGGAAGGAGAAGCUGUACAGUUUACAAGAUUAUCUGGAAAGACAACAUAUAUCUCAGCUCUGUGAUAUUGAAGACGGUAUAGCUAACGUUAAUAAGUUUAUUGAUAUGUUCUUCCCUGAUUUUAAAAGUAUGAAAAACCUCAAAUUAGAAAAGAUCCUGGCAUUACUUCGACCAGAUCUCGUUCAAGAAAAGAAAGAGAAUGUUUUAGGUAUCAUCCAUGAUGAAGGCUUUAAAAUACUGAUGCAGAGACCAAUCGUAUUGUCAGAAGAAGAAGCACAAACACUGUGCAAGGAAUAUGAAAAUGAAGAUUAUUUUGAAAAUCUUAUAAAAAAAAUGACCAGUGGUCCAUCUCUAGCCCUUGUUUUAUUGAGAGACAAUUGUUUACAACACUGGAAAGAGUUAAUUGGGCCCAGCAGUGUUGAAAAAGCCAAGACAUCUCUUCCAGAGAGCUUAUGCGUGCAAUUUGCAGUGGAAGGUUUGCCUAUCAACCAGCUGUAUGGAAGUGAUUCGUUAGAAACUGCUGAAAAGGAAAUACAAUAUUUCUUUCCUCCUCAACAGACUUUAGCACUGAUUAAACCUCAUGUAACACAGGAACAAAGAGAGGAGAUCUUGAAAUAUAUUAAAGAGGCUGGAUUUGAAAUCACACAGAUGAAGGAAAUGCUCCUAAAUGAAGAAGCAGCAGACAAAAUGUACUCAAAAAUAAAAAGAAAAGACUUUUAUAAAGAUGUAUUGGAAGUGUUAUCUGAAGGUCUGUCUUUGGUCAUGAUUCUGACCAAGUGGAAUGCUGUUUCAGACUGGAGACGAUUGAUGGGUCCUGUAGACCCAGAUGAAGCAAAACUACUGUCCCCAGAUUCUAUCCGAGCCCAGUUUGGAACAAGUGUUUUGAAAAAUGCUGUCCAUGGAUCAUCUAAUAUCCAUGAAGCAAUGGAGACCAUCAAUCAAAUGUUUGAAGUGUUGGUUCCCGAGAACCCUGAGGGAAACUAAAAACUUUGAGAAGAUAAUGCAUGUAAGUUCGCACUGACAUACGAGCAUGUGGCACAGCUUCCUGGGAGGAAUAAAACGGAAGAUACUCUCUGGAGGAAAACUCAACGUUACCUCAAGUUAAAAACUCACCUCAAAGUGAAAAACGUAUGGGUGUGCAUGAUAACAAUAAAACAGGAAGAAGUGAUAGAACCGACGACUGGCUCAGGUCUCCACAAGAACCAAAACAAAACAAAAAGGAGGCUUUAUUAUUGCAAGUAUAUUAAUCUCCAGGCAGUAAGAAUUCCGGGCACGUAAGUUAAACAUGGCGAGUGGAGAGGACAAAUGACACAAAUAUUAUUUCGAGAUUCAUCCAAGGAGUCAGGUUCUAUUUAGGGGAAGCCAGAGCGUCCAAACACAGCGUCGCCAGUCGCCAACUCGAGAGGUAUGCCAGUUUCAGCUAGAACGGGACCCAAGCUCCCAAGAUGCCAAACCAGGCCAGCGAAAUAUCAAGCACAGGGGAUAACCCGGAUGACAUCGGAAGCCAUUCCCAGCAGUAGAAUCCAGUGAGUUGAAACCCCCUGGCUUAGUGAAAAAUAUUUGCAGCCCAAAUUCCUACAAGGGAAGAAAGUACAGUUUUGAGAAACGGCUGAACUCCUGACCCUUUUCCUGCCAGGCGGCGGGAGAGGCAAACUUGGAGAGGCUCUUCCUUGUGCAGCGGGUUGAAACUUGCUGCCUCUGUUUAACCGCAAGUCCCAAGUCCCAACGCUGCAGGAAUUUCCCUUUCUCCAUGGCCUGUCUUUUGAGCAAGGCUGAGAAGAAGAGCCAGGCUUUGAUCUUGCUUCCCGGGAUCGAGUUUCUGUUGAAGACAGUCAGUCCUUUGGGUCUCCGGAGGUAAUAACCCGCACAGCAUCCCAGGCAGAUGAUUCAUUUCAACCCUGGCUGAUCUCUGCAUUUUGACCUAAUGGCUCUAUCGGGCUCCGGAGCCUGUAUCCUAUUUGAGACGGAGAACCUUACGUCUGAACUAUGAAUGUGUUCCCAUAAACACCCCAGCCACGACAGCACUGUGAAAAGCUUCUUUUCCAAAACUUCCUAUGGAUCAGUACUCGCUUUUCUACCCAUAUGGGAUUUUGAAAAACAAAAAACAAAAAACAAAAAACAAAAAAACCAGUUAUACGGUUGUAUUUGGUUUCCCGUUGAAUUAAUAUUUUCUGUCUUACUUAAGGCACUGUCAACAUAACCUCGGUAUCAGAUUAUGGCCUCUUUUGAAAAUACUAAAUAUUUUGGAAGCAGAAAAGUUACAGAGAGCACUGUAACAACCACCUGUGUUCAGACCACCCACAAGUAAUAAAGGUUAACUGUUUUGUAGCGAUU